GACGAACGCUGGCGGCGUGCCUAAUACAUGCAAGUAGAACGCACAGUUUAUACCGUAGCUUGCUACACCAUAGACUGUGAGUUGCGAACGUGUGAGUAACGCGUAGGUAACCUGCCUGGUAGCGGGGGAUAACUAUUGGAAACGAUAGCUAAUACCGCAUAAUAUUAAUUAUUGCAUGAUAAUUGAUUGAAAGAUGCAACUGCAUCACUACCAGAUGGACCUGCGUUGUAUUAGCUAGUAGGUGAGGUAACGGCUCACCUAGGCGACGAUACAUAGCCGACCUGAGAGGGUGAUCGGCCACACUGGGACUGAGACACGGCCCAGACUCCUACGGGAGGCAGCAGUAGGGAAUCUUCGGCAAUGGACGAAAGUCUGACCGAGCAACGCCGCGUGAGUGAAGAAGGUUUUCGGAUCGUAAAGCUCUGUUGUAAGAGAAGAACGGGUGUGAGAGUGGAAAGUUCACACUGUGACGGUAUCUUACCAGAAAGGGACGGCUAACUACGUG
rnacentral:rRNA from 1 species